rnacentral:rRNA from 1 species
UACGUAGGGACCGAGCGUUGUCCGGAAUCAUUGGGCGUAAAGAGCGUGUAGGCGGCCUUUUAAGUCCUGCGUGAAAUCCUGCGGCUCAACCGCAGACGGUCGUGGGAAACUGGAAGGCUAGAGUGCGGGAGAGGAGAGUGGAAUUCCCGGUGUAGCGGUGAAAUGCGCAGAUAUCAGGAGGAACACCAGCGGCGAAGGCGGCGCUCUGGGCCGGAACUGACGCUGAGGAGCGAAAGCGUGGGUAGCAAACAGG